GAUGAACGCUAGCUACAUGCUUAACACAUGCAAGUCGAACGGAAAGGCCACAGCUUGCUUUGUUACUCUAGUGGCGAACGGGUGAAUAGCACGUUGAUGAUCUGCCCUGUACUUCAUGAUAAGCGUAUAAAACUGGGUCUAAUACCGGAUAAGAAUCACAUAUGGGAGUGAGGUUGGGGAGCUGUUGCGGUAUGGGAUGAGCGCGGGGCCUAUCAGCUUGUGGGUGGGGUAAUGGCCUAGUAAGGGGUCGACGGGGGGACGGCCUGAGAGGGUGUACGGCAACAGUGGGAAAGAGAUACGGGCGAGAGUCCUACGGGAGGCAGGAGUGGGGAAGAUUGCACAAUGGGCGCAAGCAUGAUGCAGCGACGCCGCGUGGGGGAUGAUGGCCUUCGGGUUGUAAACUCUUUUCGGCAGGGACGAAGAGAAAGUGACGGUACCUGGAUAAGAAGCACCGGCUAACUACGUG
rnacentral:rRNA from 1 species